rnacentral:rRNA from 1 species
GAUGAACGCUGGCGGCGUGCCUAAUACAUGCAAGUCGAGCGAACGGACGAGAAGCUUGCUUCUCUGAUGUUAGCGGCGGACGGGUGAGUAACACGUGGAUAACCUACCUAUAAGACUGGGAUAACUUCGGGAAACCGGAGCUAAUACCGUAUAAUAUUUUGAACCGCAUGGUUCAAAAGUGAAAGACGGUCUUGCUGUCACUUAUAGAUGGAUCCGCGCUGCAUUAGCUAGUUGGUAAGGUAACGGCUUACCAAGGCAACGAUGCAUAGCCGACCUGAGAGGGUGAUCGGCCACACUGGAACUGAGACACGGUCCAGACUCCUACGGGAGGCAGCAGUAGGGAAUCUUCCGCAAUGGGCGAAAGCCUGACGGAGCAACGCCGCGUGAGUGAUGAAGGUCUUCGGAUCGUAAAACUCUGUUAUUAGGGAAGAACAUAUGUGUAAGUAACUGUGCACAUCUUGACGGUACCUAAUCAGAAAGCCACGGCUAACUACGUG